ACGUGUGAUGAGGAGCACUCCUUCCUCCCUGGGAACCAGCACAGGGCAGCUGCACACACCAUACCCACAGCCCCGUUAGGUUGCAUGAAGCCUCAAGUCUGUGACAAGAUCUUGGAAGACAGAGAUCAGCCUUCAUCAUCUACCACCAUCAGGUACUGGGGGUGGGGACGGGGCUCAAGCUGACACCCUGAGAUGACUACCAGGACCCAAACCCAGUUCUGUGAGGGGCAAAGCUAGGAUUGACUUUGAGGAGCGGUGACUCCCUGGAGAACCUUGGCUAGAUGUCUUCAUGAAGCAGGACUCACAGUCCUAGGAAACACCUCUUGUGUGUGACAGAAGUCUCUGCUGGCCAGUUUCUGGGGGGUGCAGGCAUCCGGAAGCCACUUUUCCUACAAAUCUGAACUUUGAGGACGACACUGAGUGGCUACAACAGAGACCGUGUAGUUCACUAGGCCCAGAUGUUGACUCACAGGCCACAGGAAGAGCAAACAUUCGUCUCUACACUGUGGGGCAGAUGGCCUGCUUCUCUGAAUCCUCCGGUCUACACGGACCUUAUCAGCUGCAGUCCUAGCUGCACACCACCCUCAAGAACACCCUGCGCGCUUACAAGGAGCUUUAGUCACCUUUGAAGAUAGCAGCUUCCAACUCACCAAAACCCUCUACCACGUGAUGCUGAGGGGCUCUCAGAGGGGCUGCGUCCUGCUCCUGGGUGGGUCUUCUGUCCAUUAAACCUCUCUCUUAGCCCUCAUGGCUUAACAUUCAUAUUAAAAACCCCAACUAUGCGUAGUGAGGAGGUUUAGCCGUUGAGAGCACAGACCACUCCUGUAGAGAACCUGAACAUGUACGCAAUUUUUUAAAAAAAUAAUAAAAUAACUCUUGAAAAGAAAAGAAGAAAGU
rnacentral:lncRNA from 1 species